GUGAAUCAUCGAAUUUUUGAACGCAUAUUGCACUCUUUGGUAUUCCGGAGAGUAUGCCUGUUUGAGGGUCAUUAAAAAGAAUCUUUAACCACUUUUUUUGGUCAAAGGCUAUGAGUUAUCCGCGUUUAUAGCGGUAGCUUGACCUACAUGGUCAAGUCUCAUUUUAGUCGAGACGCGUAAUAAUAUUCUGUCGCGAAUUCUUCAUUAUGUGUUUAUCAAGUUUUGAUGCAUACACAUUUGUUUUGUAUGCGAUCAAUCCAACUAUUUUG
rnacentral:misc_RNA from 1 species